GGUUUUCAAUGAUGCUUUUAACCUACAUUGUUUGAAAUAUACGUGUGAACAUACUAGCCAACUGAGAAAACC